rnacentral:lncRNA from 1 species
UGACGUAAAACUGUCUACAUAGGGCAUGUGACUUCCUCUCUUCGGUCUUGCCCUGGAGAGGUGGAUCUGGCUGAUCACUUCCUGUGAGCAGGCCUGGGCACCAGUUCGAUCUUGGAACUCAGCCUGGAGGAGCUCCCUCAGACAGCUUCCUUGAUACAGUCUCGUGGUCAGACUUUGCUGCCACCUAUUGGGACAAGCACAGAUACUGCACCCAACAAUCUCCUUUUGUGUCCUGAUAAGAUGGUUUUCAGCAUAUGAAUUCAACAUGAUUUUCCAAACUUGCAGAGCUGCUUUUUGGACAACCUUCCUUGAACCAGAUGGAAUGUUGGCUGAGAAGUGAGGAAGCCCUGGGAAGAUGGCACUAUUAUCUGACCUGCUGAUGCCACCUAAGAACCCCAGAAGAGGCAGGUGAGUGAUUCAGUGGAUUGAGAGCCAGGACUAGAGAUGGGAGGACCUGGGUUCAAAUUUGACCUCACUCACUUUCUCACUGUGUGACCCUGGGCAAGUCACUUAACCCCCAUUGCCUACUCCUUACCAUUCCUCUGCUUUGGAACCAAUACACAGUAUUGAUUGUAAGAUGAAAGGUAAGGGUUUAAGAAAAAAGAACCCCUCGGCCUUAUAAUUCACCUUUCCUUUGUAUCCUUAGGACAUCUGGGCCUUUCCAUCCAUGCUACAGCUGAAUUUUUAUUUAGCCAUUGUCUCCUCUGAUUAGAGAUCCUUAAGAGUGGGGAGUGUCUCACUUUUUCUACUUGUAUUUCUAGAACUGAGCACAGUGUUUGAUAAAAAAAUAAGUA